AUAUAUAGAGAGAGAGAGAGAGAGAGAGAGAGAGAGAGAGAGAGAGAGAGAGAGAGCGUCUGGUAUGUUCUGGAAGCACGAAGCACUCCGUGCUUCCAAGUUGUUUUCGAUGUUCAGACUUUCGAAUCGACGAUCGGCUCCAUUAGACUUGAUCUAGAGUAUUUGAAAUAUCUAGAAAAUAAAUUUUGCGAUUUUUCGAUAUUAUUUGCCUAGUGAUCGAAGUGGCUCAAAAUCAACGGCUGAAUAAAAAUUUUACAAAAUAUGAGAUAUGGCAUUAAAAUUUUAGAUCAAGUUAUUGAUCUUAUUUUAUAUGGUAUAAAGAUUUUCUAUCAAAAUUUUAUAUGAUUUGGAUAUUUUUACACCGUUAAACUUGCAAACGGCUCACACGGCCUUUAAAAUUAUUGAUUUUGAACCCCCUUUCGAUCACUAGGCUAAUGAUAUCGAAAAAUCACAAAAUUUAUUUUCUAGAUACUUCAAAUACUCUAGAUCAAGUCUAACGGAGCGAUCGUCGAUUCGAAAGUCCCGAACAUGGAAGCAAUGAAGGGCUCGUGCUUCUAGAAACAUACCAGCCCCCUCUCUCUCUCUCUCUCUCUCUCUCUCUCUCUCUCUAUAUAUAUAUAUAUAUAUAUAUUAUAUAUAUAAUAAUAUAUAUAUUAUAUAUAUAUUAUAUAGUGCGGCUAGGAUGCUUAUGGAAGCACGGAGGGCUCCGUCCUUCCACUUUGUUAUUCGUGUUCGGACUUUCGAAUCGACGAUCGGCUCCGUUAGAGUUGAUCUAGAGUAUUUGAAGUAUCUAGAAAAUAAAUUUUGGAUAUCAUUUGCCUAGUGAUCGAAGUGGCUCAAAAUCAACGGCUGAAAAUAAAAAUCUUACAAAAUAUGAUGAUAUAACAUUAAAAUUUUAGACCAAAGUUAUUGAUCUUGUUUUAUAUGGUAUAAAGAAUUUUCUAUCAAAAUUUCAUAUGAUUUGAAUAUUUCUACACUGUUAAACUUGCAACCGGCUUACCAUGGCCCUUAAAAUUAUUGAUUUUGAGCUCCUUCAAUCACUAGGCAAAUGAUAUCGAAAAAUCGCAAAAUUUAUUUUCCAGGUACUUCAAAUACUCUAGAUCAACUCUAACGGCGCCGAUCGUCGAUUCGAAAGUCCGAACAUCGAAAACGACUUGGAAGCACGGAGGCCUCCGUGCUUCCAUAAGUAUACCAGCACAACUCUCUCUCUCUCUCUCUAUAUAUAUAUAUAGUGUGAGGCUACUAUGCUUCUGGAAGCACGGAGCCUUCCGUGAUUCCAGGUUUUUUCGAUGUUGCGACUUUCGAAUCGUCAAUCAGCUCCGUUAAACAUGAUUUAAAGUAUUUGAAGUACCUAGAAAAUAAAUUAUGCGAUUUUUUGAUAUUAUUUGCCUAGUGAACGAAGGGGCUCAAAAUCAACGGUUGAAAUUAAGAAUCUUACAAAACGUGAUAAUAUGACAUUAAAAUUUUAGAUCAAAGAUAUUGAUCUUGUUUUAUAUAGUAUAAAUUUCACGUGAUUUGAAUUAAAAUUUCAAAAUUUAUUUCAAAUAUGCUAGAUCAAGUCUAACGGAGUCGAUCGUCGAUUUGAGAACUCUA
rnacentral:lncRNA from 1 species